UGUCCUAAGGUGUCUGUAAAGUUGAGAUAGUCAUUUCCUUUCCAUCCAGAAGUUCCCCCAAAUGGGGCAGAAGCGUCGAGAGAAAGCCCCGGGAUCCUGGUCUGCCUCCCUACCCCGAUGGCAGCUCCGGUGCCUUCUGAGUCGAGUUUCAUAAGACACUUAGGUGUAACUCGGUUUCACAGACCGAGCCUCCCACGGUUGACACACCACUGACAUCAACCACUCUGCCCAGGGACACCUCCCCAGCACACUCUUUCCCGUCAGGGAGAGGGGAGCCAGGUUCUCUCUGGUAGAUUUUCUCAGAAAAGACUUCUAAAAUGGGGCAGCCUGGACUCCCACGAUACUUCCUGGGAGGUGAGCCGACUUUGAAUCCAGGCACGAAUUUCACCCAGGGCUGUUUGAGGAAAACCUUUUUACCCAGCUCUACUCACUGGCACAGGAACAGGUUCAACAGGAAGAGUCAGAAGGCAGCCAGGCUGUGUUUUCCUUUGCUGUCCAUUCCCACACACAUAAAACCAGGGCUCCACUUGAAACCUGAUCUCUGAGAGCCGCCACCUCCCCUCUUAUCACUUACAAAUGGGAAAUGCUAGGCUGACUCCAUUCAGCCUGCCCAGAGCAGAGAGCAAGCUGGCGCCCAGCAAGGAGAAAAACCCUCCUUAAAAAGUGGAGGGCUUCGACUUAUAGAGAAUCAGAAAUGAUUACAUUGCAACCAGAUUUGCAAAAGUUAUGGGAGCCAGGCAAGAUUUUGGGGGAGAAGGGGAAGCUCCUUUCUCCCUGGAAAUCUUGAAAGUUUGUGUAAAAGGUGCCUUUGGGAACUUGCCGGGAACCGUGUAAAAAGUGGCCGGGAAGGAUUCACACUGAGCACUCUCCAGGUAAAAUCAUGUCCUGGGAGAAAGUGGGACAGGGAACCUCAGCUUGAGAAAGGCUAAGGUGAAGUUCAACUGACAGAAUUAAGUCAGUGGCCACAUGCGUGGUUUUGCCUGAGUUCCCAUAAGUUUUGGAAAUCAGUCCUCACGACUUAUUCUCGCACUAAAGUAAUACUCAUUUCUCAAAACUAUGAAAAAGUUGACAGAAGAAACGCCAGUGUGUCUGUUCAGAGCCCAGACCUCGGUCAUCUGGGGGAUGCCUUAGAAACCUCACGUGACUGUCAGGGACGUCCUAGCAAUGUUUAUAGUUGCUACAGACACUUUUCACUGUGGCUGCACUCCGUCUAGCUGGUGGUUAGAUGUAAGAUAGUUUGCCUGAUAGAUCUUUUUUUUUUUCUUUUCUUGAAACUUGUGUAACUAUUCUUCCAUUGCACUUUUCAAUUGUCUGCUUGCUUUCAAAGGGGGUAGGAAGAGGCUGUGAAGGAGCCAGCGGAGUGAGGGGAAGGAAAUACCCUGGUGGAUGCCCUUUCUGGGGGUACAAGCAUGCUGGAUCUAACAGACUACCAACUGUGGAUUUCAACCAGGGCUCGCGGGCUCUUCUUUUGGUCUAGUGCAGAGCGUAAAGAAAAGCCAGAGACUCCUCCAGCCAGAUCCAUGUGGCCACUUCAGACCAAUGGAAAAGGGAGAGGAGCACUGGUUAGGGAAAUAUCCAAGGCAACCUGACUGGUGUGAAACUUCCUCAGAGAAGUAGCCUCUGAAACACAGGAAGACUUUUUAUCUCUGAGAAAGGAAGAAGGCACCAAGGGAAUUCUGAAUCUGAGAGGAAGGUUCAGGCUCCAAGGAGGCUAAACAGAAGCAGUUGUACACUCAGACAUACUACUACUUGGAGAGCUGUCUGUCAGGCACGGUGUGGUGUCUGUCAGCACAUGGUAUGGUGUCCUAUGAGUUAAGAUGGUGAGGCACUAUGCAUGCAUGUGUGUACACAGACCUACUUGGAAGUUUUCUACUAAAACAGAAAAAAAAAAUCGCCCAAUUCAAAAUCCUAGACUUUAAAGAAGGAGGAAGACAGAAAGAAAGGGGACGAAGUUUGCUUUCAAUGGGGUUCAGAACACGGAAAGGACAUGUUUGUCUUCAGUCAGUGUUCAUUGUCAACGUGCACUUAGCAGAAGCCAUGCACUUGAGAAUCUGUUGUUUAUAGAACUGAUGCCGCUAGCUGCAAAAGGGAAAUAGCUGAAGGAGGAAAAUAAGACGAUUAAUUAGGUCUUCCUGAUGCCUCUCUACUAGACUCAUUUACAAUGAUUAGCUGUCCCCUUUGGAGUCAACAGAAGGAAGCAGAAGCUAACAGGUAGCAGAUUGCAAUCCUGGGUUACUUUGAUACUGAAAAAGUAAAUAAACAGAUAGAACAGGGAAAGGAGGGGGAGGAUAAAUAAUAUCAAUGAUGAUAUAAUCAAGAAAUCACAAUAGGAAGACAUGGCUCAAAGUCAUUAAUUAUCACUCAAACAAAUGAAUUUAAACACUGAGGCUGAAUAGCCUGGUGGCAUCAAAUACAGUUUUGAAAUUGAAUUGUGUAAAAUACUGUAUACAGCACUCAGGAGGCAGAGGCAGGCGGAUCUCUGUGAGUUCGAGACCAGCCUGGUCUACAGAGCUAGUUCCAGGAUAGGCUCCAAAGCCACAGAGAAACCCUGUCUCGAAAAACCAAAAAAAAAAAAAAAAAAAAAAAAAAAAAAUACUGUAUACACACGAAGUUCUCUUCCUAUUCAGACACAAAGGAAGCUGAAGGCUUUAGGGGGUGGGAAAUGCCCCAUUAUGAUGCGCUACUCAACGAAAUAAGUAUCUUAAAUAUUUAAGGCACUUUGUUGAAGUCAAUAGUUAGGCCCCACUCGUUUAUACACACUUGAAAAGAUAAAAACAGUUCUGCCACGUUUCCACCUACUACAGAGAUUCCUGGAUGGCGCUGGAAUGAUGGCUGUGCACUGGCUGCUCUUCCAGAGGAUUCAAGUUCAGUUCCCAGCACCCAGAGGACAGCUCACAACUGCCUGUAACUCCAGUUCCGGGUGGUCCGAUGCCUUCUUCUCACCUCCAUGGGCACCAGACACACACGUGCUACACAUGCACGCAAACACAACUAACUAAAUAUUCACACACAAAUAAAUAAAUAAAAUAGAAAAAGCAAAACAAAACAGACUGGUAUUUUGAAACGGUAGGGUCCUGAAGGACUUUUAGGAAACAGGUCUAAUGUAUACCAGGAGAUUUCAACUCAUUCCUUCUCAAUGACAGCAUUUUAUGGCUCUUAUUGUUAGUCACAGCUCUGGCUGUCCUGGAACUCACUGGGUAGACCAGGCUGGCCUUGAACUCAUAGAGAUCUGCUUGUCUUUGUCCCCCACAUGCUGGGAUUAAAGGCCUGCAGUACCAAGCCCAGCUCCACAGUAUGUCUUAAACACCUUCUAUGGGUGAGGCUCUUCACUUAUUGAUGAACACUGAACAGAUCCCAUCCCUCAUGGCAUGCACACACAAGAGCCACACCAGCCUGUCUAGGUUUGCAACUGGAUCCACUACUCAGAGCUGUGCUGACCAGUGAGGUCCUUAACUUUCCAAAGUCUCGGUUUCCUCUUCUGUUAAGUGGCCCAAUGAUGUGUGCCUCCAAAGGUUAUCCAAAGACACCUUUAUGUUUAUAGGGUACUCAACCCAGAGCCUGGCUUGCAGUAUACAUCAGGGAGGGGUUAAGCUAAUAGGUUGUGAAGGGCUUGCUCUACACUUGGUAAUUGUUACUAAGUAGAUGACAGUCACUUCAGAGCAGAAACAGAGCUAGCACUCGCUAUCUGGCUCCACAUCCGCCUCUCCACAGCUCAGUCAGGAGUUCUGUUGGCAUAGCUGUGUCAUCGGGCCUCAAUGUCAAUGACCACACUGGCCUGGCCGUGUGGAUCGCUUGGGUGGUUCCCUGAUGCAUCCUGCAGGGCGGAAAUCUGUUCCUCUAUCCUGUACCUGGUGGUCACCGAGGAGUAGAGGGACAGAGGGUGGGGUGUCAGCUUGCCCCACAGACAAACUGGGCAGCAAGCUCCCUUCUGUCUGGAGGAGCCAGGGAGGAGAAAUGUGCCCCAGCAUGCAGAGGAAUGCUGGAGAGCCUGCUGCCUAGGGUAGGGGGUUUCCUUGAGACACCCCUGGUGGCUGGGGGGGGGGGGGACUUGGAUAGAAAGUGUCCAGUUCUCUUUUAAAUCGUGACAAGCUGCAAGUAAACACACCUAGGUAUGACAAUAAGGUAGUGUAGGAAAAGAUGUCCUAGGAGUUGGGACGUUUCCUGGCUCAUUGUACUACAGGUUAAUCAUUUAACUGCAAAUUCACAUGGAAAUGACUAAAUUCGGGAUAGUCCGCAGCCAAGGUACAUCAAACAAUGAGUCACUCCGAUAGGGUGAUCCCCUUGUGAUGGGAAGGAAAGCAAACCAGGCGUCAUUGGCUUAGUUGGUUUCAUGCUACAGGUGACCCCUGGUGAAUAAAGGUGCCGCAGAAGCCGUUUGGAGUACCGCAAACCAGGUGCACUGAGUCUUCUCCACAACCAGACGCAGAAGCAUCAUCUUAAGCUGGAUCCCAUCCAGGAGAAAAUGAAGGCUCACAGAGGUGUGACCACCUGGCCAAGUCACCCAGUCAACCGGGAUGGAUCUGGGAUUUAUACACAACCAGAGUCAGGCUCAAGAGUCCAGCAUAGCACCAGAGGACGUCACCACUUCUAUAGUUAGGGAGGACUCUAUGGGGACAUUUGUAUUUUUAACAGGAGGAGAACAGCAAUAUUUAUACUUCAGAUUAAAAAGAACAGAGGUGGCAACUAUGGCAGCCAUUUGUGGAAUAGGACCAAGUCCCUUCUUGAAAUGGGGUUUGAUUUCACCGACAAGGCUAGUCUUAGGAGCAUGUUGAUCCUCCUGCCUCAGCUUCCCAAGUGCUGGGAUUGCAAGUGCCCCCCCUGUGAGGGCAUCUCCCACAGCCUCACUCACCAGUGGUUUUGCAGCUCAUGACAACUGCACUGUUCCCCACCCCCACACCACCUCCAGGCCAUCUGGCCAUGGGAGGAGAGCCGGCUAGUGAUCAUAGGGGAAGGGGGGAGGCUGCCAGAACACAGCACAGAUGCCGUGUCCUGUCCCACUACGCACAAGACAGUCCCACACCCCAAAGGAAAUCGUAAUUCAGCUGGAGUCGAGAAACGCUGAGUUGGGGAGUAACAUCUAGGCUCUGAGAGCCAGACUAUGUAAAUAAGAGGCUUUAGAUUUUUUUUCUCUAAAAUAGUAAGUUUCAGAGUUCUGUUUCUUUCAGUUGGAUAAUACUUUUAGGAUUCCGUCACAUUUCAAAGUCUAAACAUAACCCGAUGGAGGGACUUACGAUACUUGAUCAGACGAAAGAGAUCCUGCUAAAAGCAUUUGCUGUGGUAAAAACACUUUCAUAAGAGAUCCCAGCAGGCUGGGCAGUGGGGGUGCAGGUCUCUAAUUCCAGCACUCUAGAGGCAGAGGCAAGGGGAUCUCUGUGAGCUCUAGAAAGCAAGUUCUAGAACUGCCAGGACUGUUACACAGCGAAACCCUGUCUUGAAAAACAAAGCGGGGGUGGGGGUGGGGUGAGGAAGGGUGGGAUGGGAAGGUGGGUUAGGAACUGGGGGAGAUCCCAACAGAAGAUGCUCAGAAUCUGAAUAUUAUUUCCUUUAGAUGUGAUCUCAUAGCUAUAUAUACAUAAAAUGUCACACCUUACAUGCAAUCAAGUAAACACAUUUGCUAUUUGCAAAUACGUUUAGAUGAAAAAGUUCUCAGUAUUAAAAAAACGUGUCAUAUGAAAACUGAACGUCUAAAAUGGUAUCACCUCACCCAGCCUCCCCUGUGGCCAAGUCUCUAACCUCCCACGGCUGAGGUACUGACUUCCUCCUUGUUAGAGCUUGCGUGGGGGCACGUGUGCAUGUGUGCCCGACAACCAGGCCUGGCACGGUGCUGCCACAGAUGACCAAGGAUGUCUCUCUCUCUCUCUCUGCUUCUUCCUCUCCCCCCCACCCCGCCUCUCUGACAGGGACUCAUUGCUUCUCAGUCUGACUUCAAACUUACUCUGAAGUUGAGGAUGACUUUGAAUUUCUGACCUUCAUACCUUUACACCCUGAGUGCUCAGAUCUGAGCUGUGUCCCACAAUACCUGGCUUAUGAGGGGCUGGGGAUCAAACUUAGGCUCUCAAGCAUGCUGGGCAAUCUUCCUUCCAACUGAACUCCAACACUAACUCUUCGUGUCAUUUAUCUUUGUGUGUGAACAAUUCUACCACUGGUUAAGGCCCAGGUGCAGCUAGUAACAGGGGGCCAUGGGUUUUGUGAUGGUUCCCCUAUGUAGAGCCACUUUCUCUUCUGUAGGGAUCACCUGCCAUUCCUACAUAGAAUCCUUAUUCUGGAAGGUGUGGCUAGUGGUUAGAGGGAGGGUUAAAAGUUUACCCUCCCUCCUUCCCAGCAGCCACCAGGUACUCUGCAAGCAUCUCACCAUCCGGGUCUUAGCUUAAAUGUCACUUCCCUCAGUCAGGCCUUCCCUGAGCACACCAAAUGUCUCUCCCCAUGCCAUGAUUGUCUCUCUAUCUCUUUAGUUCCUAUCAGAGGCAAUCCAAAGUCAGGCAAUUAUCUGAUUUCUUUGCGUACUUGUUCCUCACCACCAUCUCUCUAGAAUAGGUCAUCAGCCACCACUUGCCUCCUCCAGAGUAUAUUUUGACAUUUCUUUUUGGUCACAAAACAACCUGAGUUAUAGCUUUGGCCAUGGCCUGCGGGCAUCAAGACAAUACCUCCCAGCCUCCCUUGUAAUGAGACGCAGACUCCCUAGAGCUUGCUCCAGAAUGCCCUUCACCUUCGGCAAUACUCAGUGGAAUCUUGGAAGGUUCUCCUCCUAGAACUACAGACCCUAACUGCACUUAGACACAUAGGUGAAGAGAGAUGUCAUAUUAUACGGCAAAGUAUGGUGUGGAGGGGGCUGCGUUCACUCUGAGCAAAUCCCAUUAGCCCACUGGGUGCUCACAGCCCUGUGGGGUAAGAGUGUAGACAGAAUUCUUUGAACUUGAUAGGUGAGAAAAUGGGGGCACAGAGAGGUUAAGUGGCAGUUCCAAGUCAGCCAGCUGGUCAGCGGGAAUGCAGAACUGGUUCUUAUUCCAAACCCCUGUUAUAGGAUUGGCCUCUCCUCCCACUGGCUCUGCAGGUUCUAACAAUCAGAUUGAUUAUUGGUGGGGCUGAGGCUUAAUCACACACUUUCCAAACAGGACGGACUGGUCUCCUGACCACAUAUUGUAAUCCAGUGUUUCUCGUCCACACCAGACAGUGUGUUGUAUUGAUGGAGAAAGUGGGAGUGGACAGCUCCCGCUCUCCCGUUCUGCUAGCCUUAAUCUGCUCUGCGGACAGGAGGACCGUGUGUGGUCCAUGGUGACAGGCUGGUGGCGGAGAGAGCAAGGAGGAGUUGGGGUGGUCAAGAUGCCUGUGAUCAGAGAAGCAAGCAAGGUGCUGCCUGGAAGUAAAGGAACGAGCCAGGGACUGCUAGGACAAGUGAACAGAAGGCUUUUGUGCUGAUUACUCAACCCAUCUGCCUCCAGGCACAAGGACUUCCAACAGUUAAAAAAAAAUCAGUUAACCACAGAUCAGGGAUGGUAUUCACUACAAGGCUCCUUUAUCACGCUACACUGUAAAAAAGAUGCUAAUCUCGAAGGGAACUUCAUCAGGAUGGUCUAGAUGAUGCCUGGCUGGGGAGCCCUAUCAGUCUCCCAUCGCUGCUCCCCUACAGGCCCUGCUUUCCCAGGUACGGUCAGAGUUCAGUCACGACAUACACACCAUCGCCUUACCCACUGUCUACUUCCUUGGGACAGACAUUUUUGCCCCUUGAAGUACUAAACUGGCACUAAAAACCUAGUAAGAGAGGCUGGGGGUGUAGCUCAGUUGGUAAGGUGCUUGCCUAAUAUGCAUGAAACCCUGGGUUUGAACCCCAGUACCACAGAAACCGGGAUGGUGCUGCACACUUGCAAACUCAGCACUGGGAAGUCGGAGGCAGGAGGAUCAAAAAUUCAAGGUUUCUUGACUACACGGCAAGUUCAAGGCCAGUCUGGGAUACAGGAGGCUCUGUGGUAAAGUCGUUAAUUCAUUAUUUUUCUUUUCCCAUAUGACACAUCUCCAUGCAUUAUGGGUAAGGAACCAGGGAGAAAAGGGUUUAUAAGUAACUAAAUAUAGGCACUCUUACUAUACCAGGGCUGCUUUGGGUCCUUCUCUGUCAGUAACCUGUAACCCAAAAAUAUUUCCCAAUUAGUCUCUUUAAUUGUCUGUCUCCCUUAUUUCCAAGGAGUGGUGAGCAGUUACCUAGUGAUAUCCGUUUAUCAGGCAUGGGGCAGAAUAUACUCUCACUUAGUUCUCACAGCCGCCUCAUGCAGCUAGUGGGAUUUCGGCUAUGCAGAUAAGGGAGAUACUUCUAAAGAGAUGAAAGCUGUGCCCAAGAUCACACAGCGAAUAAGGCUUGGACAUAUAGUUUAGUGGUAGAGCAUUUGCUUGGCUUGCCUGAGGCCCUAGCCUGCAUUCCCAGCAUGGCAACACAUACACACACCCACAGACACACAGACACACAGACACACACACACAGACACACAGACACACACAAAUUCAGAUGUUGAGCCAAGAUCACACAGCAAAUCAGGGCCAGGGUCGGGAAAGCCUCUCCAACUCUUGGCCUACAUCAUGGUGCUUCACUGAUGGAAGCCACUUGCGACCCCUCAGUCUGUAGACUGUCAGUAAAGAAACACAGUCCCCGCCACUUAGAGACAACGAUUAACAGACAUUAUCCAGACAGACUGGCAGGAGGCCUGUGCCAGCAGGCCUUAAACAACCCCUUUUAAGACCGGCCUCUUGGCGUCAGUCUCUGAUUCUUGGUACAUCUCCCUCCUGAUUUGCUUUUACACCAACAAGGUAGGCACAUGGCUCCAGAGGCCCAGCACCUUGAGGCUGGUCCAGCAGCCUGGGCUCCAUUCAUUUGUCAGCACGACCCCGAUUCUUUCCUGGCUAUCGGAGAACUUGCUGCACGCCCAGAUGCUGAAGCGAGAGCCUUCUUUUGUGUCGGUGCUCACAACCCUUUAAAUAAAUCAUGUGUUCUUUUUAACAUGGGUCAGGAUAGGGCCUGGCAGAGCACGCUGCUGCCACCACCGCGAAUCAGUAGGUUCCAGAGAGCCGUAAGUCCGCAGAGGCACGAUCCACCACCAGAUUAACAAAAGAUAGCAGGGAACAAACCACAGGUGCCACGUGGACACCGGAAGUGGUGGAGAAGCAAGGGCAAGGAAGCGACAGCACAAGAGCUGUCUGGAAGUGAAAGAGGGAAACGGCACUUGGAAAAGAGGAGGUGGCUCCGAGCCUCGUCUAGACGCGGGGAUGAACAAGCAGGCCUGAUGGGGAUCCGUGUGAAACAGUGUGUACCGAUUUUUAUGAAGCUGUGAACGUAAAGAAAGGCCUGAAAGCAGACUAUGUUGCUAUAGAAGACAGUGAAAAUGAAGAUCGGCAGAAACCGCUGCAAUUGCGGAAAGAUUGCUUGCAACCAUUUGAUUGAGAAGUAAUCACCACGAAACUUUGGAUUUAAACUCAAGUGUAUGGGCUGUGAACCAUGUUGUGGUUAGCUUUGUAGAUGAACCUUUGUGUGCAGUUCAGGUGAUUGCCUCGGAACAGACAGCACGCAAUCCUAGCACUCGGGGAGUGGAGGCAGAGGAUCGAUUAAUGCCACAGGAGAACCUGUCUCAACAAGCAAAUGAAAAGAUGGCUAUCUUAUUAUGGAACUGUGCUGGUGGUGCAUAAUAAGAAGAAACAGAAUUCCAACACAGCAAGUUCCAUCCAAAGUAGAGUCACAAACUGAAUUUCCAUCUUCUCUCUGAAAGUGUUGGAACAUUUGGUACCAUUGUGCCUGGAUUCUAAAGCUAAGCCACCUUACCUGUGCCCAGGGUAACAGUUCUUGCCACCACCAUUGUCACCAUUCCCUAGGAAACCAACACUUCCCUCUCUGUUACCUGCCCCACACUGGGAAGCAUCGGAACUGGUAACACCCACGUAUGGAAUCACUAAGAUGUUUUCUAUAAAACUAUGUCUAGGCAAGAAGAGGAACAA